GAUGAACGCUGGCGGCGUGCCUAAUACAUGCAAGUCGAGCGAACAGACGCGUAGCUUGCUCCUCUGACGUUAGCGGCGGACGGGUGAGUAACACGUGCAGAACCUACCUAUAAGACUGGGAUAACAUCGGGAAACCGGAGCUAAUACCGGAUAAUAUAUUGAACCGCAUGGUUCAAUAGUUAAAGACGGUUUUGCUGUCACUUAUAGAUGGAUCCGCGUCGCGGUAGCUAGUUGGUAAGGUAACGGCUUACCAAGGCGACGAUGCGUAGCCGACCUGAGAGGGGGAUGGGCGACAGUGGGAGUGAGCCACGGUCCAGAGUCCGACGGGAGGCAGCGGUAGGGAAUCUUCGGAAAUGGGGGGAAGACUGCAGGAGCAGCGCCGGGUGAGUUAUGAAGGUCUGCGGGUCGUAAGACUCUGUUAUGAGGGAAAAACGAAUGUGGAAGUAACUAUGCACGUCUUGACGGUACCUGAACAGAAAGCAACGGCUAACUACGUG
rnacentral:rRNA from 1 species